AGUGAACGCUGGCGGCAGGCCUAACACAUGCAAGUCGAGCGGCAGAACAGUACUUGCUCCUUGUUUCGGCGGCGGACGGGUGGGUGGUGCCUGGAUACCUCCGUAUCUACUUUUGCUUACGGCAGGACGCGGGCGCUCUUACGGUAUUCGUGCUUAGGACCUACGUGUGAAAUCAUCGGACCUCAGGCUAUCACGUGAGCCUAGGACCGGAGGUCGGAUUAGCUAGUUGGCGGGGUAAAGGCCCACCAAGGCGACGAUCCGUAGCUGGUCUGAGAGGAUGAUCAGCCACACUGGAACUGAGACACGGUCCAGACUCCUACGGGAGGCAGCAGUGGGGAAUAUUGGACAAUGGGCGAAAGCCUGAUCCAGCCAUGCCGCGUGUGUGAAGAAGGUCUUCGGAUUGUAAAGCACUUUUAGUUGGGAGGAAGAGCAGUAAGUUAAUACCUCGCUGUUUUGACGUUACCCACAGAAUAAGCACCGGCUAACUUCGUG
rnacentral:rRNA from 1 species